rnacentral:rRNA from 1 species
UACGGGGGGGGCAAGCGUUGUUCGGAAUUACUGGGCGUAAAGGGCUCGUAGGCGGCCAACUAAGUCGGAUGUGAAAUCCCCAGGCUUAACCUGGGAACUGCAUCCGAUACUGGAUGGCUUGAAUCCGGGAGAGGGAUGCAGAAUUCCAGGUGUAGCGGUGAAAUGCGUAGAUAUCUGGAGGAAUACCGGUGGCGAAGGCGGCAUCCUGGACCGGCAUUGACGCUGAUGAACGAAAGCUAGGGGAGCAAACGGG